GAGGUCAGGAAUUGACAUUAGGUCACCUGGAACUUGAGUGAUGGAUGGUAGUGCUGGGAACCAAACCCAGGACUUCUGCUGGUGCAAGUGUUCUUAACCACUGGACCAUCUCUCCAGUCCCUGUAUCUGAGUUUUAUAGGUCCUGUAGAGACUAAUCUUUAAGCAUUGCAGUUGACGUUGUUCAGCUUGUACGUGUGGUGGUGAUGAGUGAUGUUCACACUGUUGAGAAAGAAAAGCAAAGAAAAACAUGGUGUUGGGAACAUUACUGUCAUGAUCAAUGCCAGGUCCUUAGCUUCCUCAGACACUGUUGUGGCUUGCCCAAAAACCUCUCUACAAACCCCAAGGGUUCUUACCAGUGUCUUUGCAUUCACCAAGGCCCCUGUGUCUAUAACCAGCCCUUUUUAUUGUGCAGCAUCAGGAGAUCAGAAUAUUCCAGAUCACUUGAUAACAGAAGGGAACUUACUGGUGGAGACUGAAAUCCAACAGAGUUCAGACUCAGUAGUCCUCAGAGGAUAUGCCCAUCUGUUUGCCAAAUAAUCUUUAAUGAAUAAUUUUUGAUACAUUUUGGAAAUGUUGGAAUCUGGCCAUCUGCCUUCCGUUACUUGAUUUGACUUGAAUACUGAGCCGAACCUUAGAUAAUUAUCCAAUUCCCAUCGCACAGGCCUAUGUUGCCAACCAAUGACUGAGGCACAAGCUAAGCUGUCCUGAAAGACCAGCUUCCUCCCAUAGCAGUGACAACUCUAAUGCUUACAUUUU
rnacentral:lncRNA from 1 species